CAAUAAAUGGCGUGUAUGUUUACGCCCAUUGUCUACAGCGUAGACAUACACACGGAUUCCUCAAAAUGUGUACAGAUAAUACGUCACUUGGCUUAAGAAAGUGGGCGGGUAUGUUUACGCAAAGUCCUGAUGUCAUGUUGUAUUGAUGGUGGAUGCAAAAAUCUAA